AGGGAAACCGAGUCUUAACUGGGCGUUAAGUUGCAGGGUAUAGACCCGAAACCCGGUGAUCUAGCCAUGGGCAGGUUGAAGGUUGGGUAACACUAACUGGAGGACCGAACCGACUAAUGUUGAAAAAUUAGCGGAUGACUUGUGGCUGGGGGUGAAAGGCCAAUCAAACCGGGAGAUAGCUGGUUCUCCCCGAAAGCUAUUUAGGUAGCGCCUCGUGAACUCAUCUUCGGGGGUAGAGCACUGUUUCGGCUAGGGGGUCAUCCCGACUUACCAACCCGAUGCAAACUGCGAAUACCGAAGAAUGUUAUCACGGGAGACACACGGCGGGUGCUAACGUCCGUCGUGAAGAGGGAAACAACCCAGACCGCCAGCUAAGGUCCCAAAGUCACAGUUAAGUGGGAAACGAUGUGGGAAGGCUCAGACAGCCAGGAUGUUGGCUUAGAAGCAGCCAUCAUUUAAAGAAAGCGUAAUAGCUCACUGGUCGAGUCGGCCUGCGCGGAAGAUGUAACGGGGCUAAACUGUGCACCGAAGCUGCGGCAGCGACGCUUAUGCGUUGUUGGGUAGGGGAGCGUUCUGUAAGCCUGCGAAGGUGUCCUGUGAGGGAUGCUGGAGGUAUCAGAAGUGCGAAUGCUGACAUAAGUAACGAUAAUGCGGGUGAAAAGCCCGCUCGCCGGAAGACCAAGGGUUCCUGUCCAACGUUAAUCGGGGCAGGGUGAGUCGACCCCUAAGGCGAGGCCGAAAGGCGUAGUCGAUGGGAAACGGGUUAAUAUUCCCGUACUUGGUGUUACUGCGAAGGGGGGACGGAGAAGGCUAUGUUGGCCGGGCGACGGUUGUCCCGGUUUAAGCGUGUAGGCUGGUUUUCCAGGCAAAUCCGGAAAAUCAAG
rnacentral:rRNA from 9 species